rnacentral:misc_RNA from 1 species
GUCUCGCAUAGGCGGCGUCCCCCCUGCGUUCUCUUAAGCUGCACAGCCCCUGACGCGUGUGUACAGUGACGGAGUACGAGCAACUGUACGGCAUGGCGGACAUCCCGCUCCCCCGAUCUCGCGCCUAUGUUCGUGAUGGGCACGGUCGCCCUGCUCCCGCGGGCUCAACAGCAGACAACGCGGACGUGGUUGCGGCUCCAUUCAAGGCGCCUGGCAGCCAAUGCGGCGCUGUCACCGCGGCGUGCAGCACUUCAUCCUUGCGCACCUACGCGGAGUGGUACCUCCCAUCCGCGAGUGACUCUAACGCCUUCCCCUCUUCUGGAUCCGUGUCGAACGCGGCCACCGCUGCGGUUCGGGCAGUGCCAACUGUGGAGCACUUCAAGCAAGCGAGCCGCGCUGCUGGGCGCAAGCAGGAAGAGUACCUGUGGGCUCUCAUGCAAGAUGUCUACACGGAUGCCGAGCAGUCUGAUCAAUACCACCCGGAUGCCAUCGGAAUCGAAUCGGUCCAGCCGCAUCGUCGCUGGUUUGUCUCGCACUACGCUCAUCUACAAGCCUUCCUGCAACGCCAGCCGGUACUGCGCCGGGCGAACAUCAUCUGCCGCUGGCUGGAGAGCACGUACCGCGACAACUCGCGACACGAGCCGCGUCUGCGUGGAGAGGAAGAGGUGGUGCUUCGCCAGCUCAUCCUGACGUACCUGCGCGGCGGAGAACUGAAUCGCGCCAUUAGCGCCGCCGUCACCUACGAGAGCUGCGUGCACAGCUGCAUCCUCAGCGCUGCCCAGCUGCAGACGGUGCAGGAGCCGUGGUUCAGCCAGACUGCUUUGGUGCCUCUCUUUGGCGAGUACGCGCACGGCGAACUGAAUCAGGCAUGGUGCGGCAACGAAUACCGCCUCGACAACCUCUCGCAGCUGUACGAGGAGUCCCUAAAGUACCGCAGCGCCGCCGCCGCCGUUGGCGUAGAGGGAAGCGCGGCGCCGUCAACGCCGAGCGCCGUGAGCGACUUCGAUGCCGUAAUUGGUGCGGCGCUGUGCGGAAACCUUACCGUGUUGGAGAACGCCUUCAAGGUGAACGGGAAUUGGAAGGACAUGGCGUGGUGCUACCUGCGGUGCGCGCUGGUGGUCGCUUUCACGAAGCAGCUGAUAGUCGCCACCGGCGCCGGUGGCGAGGAGUCUGGUCGCCCGGCAGCAGGCGUUGUCGAUCGCAGCUACGCGGUCUUCAUCGAAGAGAUGACGGGUAGCGGUGAUAACUGGGCGGCGAGCUUCUCGCAGAAGCUGGUACAGGGCCUUGCUGCGCGCCUGCAGUCUGGUUUUCUGCCGCGUGCGCCGCUGGAAGAGCAGCUUCAGAUGCGCUUCAUCUUGCAAACACUCACGUGCACUGACGGAAAGCGCUCUCUGCUGUCUACAGCACCAUCCGCGGCGCCGGCGUCGACGACCUUACCGGGUGCGGCCGAGUGGUUCGACAUCGUCCCGGAGGAGGGGGACAGCGACGCCGCGCGGCUGAUCACGCACGUAGUGCUCGCGCAGGACGUCGCCUACGGGGAAACGCUGAGCCCGCACGCUGUUCAGGUGCGCGCCGGCGCAACGUUGGCGACGUCUCUAGCGCGCUACGCGGUUUUCUUAGCGCUGCUGCCUCGCUACCCGUUUGACGAGGGGCUGCGCGCUGUCACGGCCAUGACGCUGCGGCUCCGGGACCCGCGGCACCGCGCCCGCGUCUACGCCGCUUUCAUCAUGGCCGCGCGCGAGUACGAGCUGCAGCGGCAGAACCUCUCCCGUAGCGAACUCGAGGAGCAGGAAGCCCGCCUGGUGCGUCAGUUUGUGACCGCGGACAGUGACGCAAAUGUGCAUGCGGAGGUGCAGCAGCUCCUCUACCAGCAGGUCGCGCCGACAGAGCUGCUUACGCACAACAAACUCGCCGAGAAGCUCAUGUGGGAGGCCAUGCACGCGGACUCUCUGUCCGACUACCUCGCGGUGCUCCAUCGCUGUCUGUCGGCGUGCUGCAGCUUCUGGCUCACGGAGCCCGAGCCCGAGGUGGAGGCGAUUGCGGAUGUGAGCAGCAUCCUGACGCGCCGUGUCUUGGUGGAGAUUCAGAGGCGGUGCGAGACACACGAGGGCGGGCGGGCCGGCGAACUCACUGGGGGAGCGACGUCGCCGUCCACUCCGUCACAGUCUGUCAGCCCUGUGACAGAGCACGAGCGCAGCGAAGCAACCUUCUGGUAUCUGCUGAGCGAGGCACGUGGUAUUGCAACGGAGCACGCUACGAUAACUGCGCAACUAAACGCCGCCAAGCACACGGCCGCCUUUGCCGGGGCUGCAGCGGCGUCCAACCGCACACUCAUCUACCAGCUCACUCAGGAUGAGGCGGCGUUGCUGUGUAAGCUGGUGGAGCACACCCAGCGCGCUGUCCGGCACGGUGGCGCUGUCGUGUACCGCGACCGCCAGUGCCUGACGGCCAUCAUAAAUUUGGUGCAGCAGCUGACGGAGGCGGUGACUCUCUCGAUGCUGUCUGGUGUGGAUGAGAGCGACGUCGAGGAGGAGAGCCCUGCCUCGUGUGAUGAGCUCUCCCGCAUGCAGCAAGUGUACGGACUAAUGGAGGAGCUUCACAGCGCCGGCUACCUGCACCCGGCACUGCUCUCCCAGCAGAGCGCCAGUGCCCUCUACGCACAGAUACGCGCCAUGCGCGUGUCGUAUGGGCAGCGCGUGCACAGGCGACAAGUUGUGACUGCACUGCGCCAGCGGGCUGGCAGGGCCGCAGCAGAGGUCGGCCGCGUUGGUGCCUUCGUCGCCGUCGACGGUAAAUGAUUUCUGUAGCGAAAGGCUCUCGGACUCUUCAGACAGGACACCGCGCGGACUCGUGGGCAAAUGCUCCCUUUCGUCUGCCGCGCACGCAUCGCAGCCCCCCUCCCCUCUUCCUCCGCUUCAGCUGCGCCGUGGAAGUGGGGAGGGGCGAUGGACGGCGGCCAGCAGCCAAAAGAGGGCUGGAGAGGUGGGCGGAAGGGCGGGAGUGAGGGGCCUAAGAAGGCUAGGAUGCGCACAGCGAGUAAAGGCGCGACAGGCUUUGCCUGACAUGCCUCCCCCCUCUUUCGCUCGACACACACACACACACACACACAGACACACAGACACAGACACUCACACGUCACUGCGUGAUGGUCCCUCAUCUCUCGUCCCUUCCUGUGGUCUGCCUUGAAGGCCGUGCUUGGCGCGUCUUUUUCAUGUUUUGCCUUCGGUGCUGUGGCUGAUAUAACACGUAUAUAUACACACACACAAACACACCCUCCCCUCCGUCCCCUCCAAAACAAAAAGAGAGGGGGAGGGGAGGGGGAUGGGGAUGGGGCGGAGAAAAGGGUCCUAUAGAACUAAUUUCCAACAAAACAGAAACCCAGUGGUGUGGAGCGCUGCGAAAGACCCUCAAAACGAAGUGAACCGCAGUGGAUGCCACAUGCAGCAACACACGGUGGCAGCACCGGCCCCCGCCGGUGGAGGAGGGAGUACGGAGAACCGACGAAUGGAGAAGCCGUCUGACCACCCCGCCCUCCACCUCUGCUCCACGAACUAGGCACACGUGCGCACGGGUGCUGCGUGCUCGAGGUGGACGAAGCUGGGCAGGCUACGCCAAGGCGGUCUUGACG